rnacentral:rRNA from 1 species
GACGAACGCUGGCGGCGUGCCUAAUACAUGCAAGUUGAGCGCUGAAGGUUGGUACUUGUACCAACUGGAUGAGCAGCGAACGGGUGAGUAACGCGUGGGGAAUCUGCCUUUGAGCGGGGGACAACAUUUGGAAACGAAUGCUAAUACCGCAUAGAAACUUUAAACACAAGUUUUAAGUUUGAAAGAUGCAAUUGCAUCACUCAAAGAUGAUCCCGCGUUGUAUUAGCUAGUUGGUGAGGUAAAGGCUCACCAAGGCGAUGAUACAUAGCCGACCUGAGAGGGUGAUCGGCCACAUUGGGACUGAGACACGGCCCAAACUCCUACGGGAGGCAGCAGUAGGGAAUCUUCGGCAAUGGACGAAAGUCUGACCGAGCAACGCCGCGUGAGUGAAGAAGGGUUUCGGAUCGUAAAACUCUGUUGGUAGAGAAGAACGUUGGUGAGAGUGGAAAGCUCAUCAAGUGACGGUAACUACCCAGAAAGGGACGGCUAACUACGUG